rnacentral:rRNA from 1 species
GACGAACUGUCCAAACGUUGUUCGGAAUCACUGGGCUUAAAGGGCGCGUAGGCGGUCCAUCAAGUCAGGGGUGAAAUCCUGCGGCUUAACUGUAGAAGUGCCUCUGAUACUGAUGGUCUUGAGGGAGGUAGGGGUGUGCGGAACUUCCAGUGGAGCGGUGAAAUGCGUUGUUAUUGGAAAGAACACCGAUGGCGAAGGCACUUUACUGGGCUAUUACUAACACUCAGAGACGAAAGCUAGGGUAGCAAACGGG